GAAAUCCGAGGCCUGAAAUGCAAAAUCAGCAGCAUGGAGAAAAGCUUUCGCUUAAUGGAGGAAAAACUUUACAAAGUGGAGAACGAGUUGAACAAAGACCCAAAGCCCACAGCAAAGAGAACUGGAUCAGACAUGUCACCACCCAGGAAAGCUCAAAAGCCUCGACUUGAUGCUGCUUCAGCUGAUCCUGUAAACACAACACACACAACACAAUCUCUCAUCUCCAGUGCAUUAGAAACACUACAAAAGUCCUGUUCUGAUGUUUUACC